GGCUUCUCUGUGUAGCCCUGGCUGUCCUGGAACUCACCCUGCAGACCAGGCUGGCCUCAGACUCAGAGAUCCACCUGCCUCUGCCUCCCGAGUGCUGGGAUCAAAGGCAUGCGCUACCAGCACCC
rnacentral:miRNA from 14 species